GACGAACGCUGGCGGCGUGCCUAAUACAUGCAAGUAGAACGCACAGUUUAUACCAUAGCUUGCUACACCAUAAACUGUGAGUUGCGAACGGGUGAGUAACGCGUAGGUAACCUGCCUUGUAGCGGGGGAUAACUAUUGGAAACGAUAGCUAAUACCGCAUAAUAUUGAUUAUUGCAGGAUAAUUGAUUGAAAGAUGCUAUUGCAUCACUACCAGAUGGACCUGCGUUGUAUUAGCUAGUAGGUGAGGUAACGGCUCACCUAGGCGACGAUACAUAGCCGACCUGGGAGGGUGAUCGGCCACACUGGGACCGGGACACGGCCCAGACUCCUACGGGAGGCAGCAGUAGGGAAUCUUCGGCAAUGGACGAAAGUCUGACCGAGCAACGCCGGGUGAGUGAAGAAGGGUUUCGGAUCGUAAAGCUCUGUUGUAAGAGAAGAACGGGUGUGAGAGUGGAAAGUUCACACUGUGACGGUAUCUUAACAGAAAGCGACGGCUAACUACGUG
rnacentral:rRNA from 1 species